rnacentral:rRNA from 1 species
CACCUUUUGACAUCCUGUGCUAACCGGCGAGAGUCGGUGUUCCCUUCGGGGACGCAGAGACAGGUGCUGCAUGGCUGUCGUCAGCUCGUGUCGUGAGAUGUUGGGUUAAGUCCCGCAACGAGCGCAACCCUCGCGGUUAGUUGCCAUCAUUCAGUUGGGCACUCUAAUCGGACUGCCGGUGCUAAGCCGGAGGAAGGUGGGGAUGACGUCAAGUCCUCAUGGCCCUUACGGGGUGGGCUACACACGUGCUACAAUGGCGACUACAGAGGGCAAAUCCCUAAAAGUCGUCUCAGUUCGGAUUGUCCUCUGCAACUCGAGGGCAUGAAGUUGGAAUCGCUAGUAAUCGCGGAUCAGCAUGCCCGCGGUGAAUA